rnacentral:rRNA from 1 species
AGUGAACGCUGGCGGUAGGCCUAACACAUGCAAGUCGAACGGCAGCACAGUAAGAGCUUGCUCUUACGGGUGGCGAGUGGCGGACGUGUGAGGAAUACAUCGGAAUCUACUUUUUCGUGGGGGAUAACGUAGGGAAACUUACGCUAAUACCGCAUACGACCUACGGGUGAAAGCAGGGGAUCUUCGGACCUUGCGCGAUUGAAUGAGCCGAUGUCGGAUUAGCUAGUUGGCGGGGUAAAGGCCCACCAAGGCGACGAUCCGUAGCUGGUCUGAGAGGAUGAUCAGCCACACUGGAACUGAGACACGGUCCAGAGUCCUACGGGAGGCAGCAGUGGGGAAUAUUGGACAAUGGGCGCAAGCCUGAUCCAGCCAUACCGCGUGGGUGAAGAAGGCCUUCGGGUUGUAAAGCCCUUUUGUUGGGAAAGAAAAGCAGCAGGUUAAUACCCCGCUGUUCUGACGGUACCCAAAGAAUAAGCACCGGCUAACUUCGUG